UACGGGGGGAGCAAGCGUUGUUCGGAUUUACUGGGCGUAAAGGGCGCGUAGGCGGCGUGACAAGUCACUUGUGAAAUCUCCGGGCUUAACUCGGAACGGUCAAGUGAUACUGUCGUGCUAGAGUACAGAAGGGGCAACUGGAAUUCUCGGUGUAGCGGUGAAAUGCGUAGAUAUCGAGAGGAACACCUGCGGCGAAGGCGGGUUUCUGGGCUGAUACUGACGCUGAGGCGCGAAAGCCAGGGGAGCGAACGGG
rnacentral:rRNA from 1 species